GCCCCCCAGGUCUAACUGGGCCUACCCGUCAACCUAUUCGGAGGAUCUCUGCCGUGCUGCUGAGUUCCCGUCCUGGCUCAAGCAGGAGCCACUGGACUCGUGCGAGACUGGAGGCGGCUACUGCUGAAAGCUGUUCACUCAGAAAGCAGCCAAGUCUGGGAGGAGUGACAACCACUACCAGUGCACUGUCACCCUUGUGUGUUCAUCUCGUACCUGCAUUUGGCGAGUCCUGUGCAGCCCAGAGACAUAAGCCAAGCAGCUUCUUUCUGGUUUGAAUACGUGCACUUUCACUGUAGAGCUCUGCCACACAAGAGCAGAACCACUCAGAGCAGGUUGUGACAUCACCUUCAACAUUUCUGCAAGCCAAUAUGUGCCAGAUGUCUGCAGUGGCUGACCUGCAUUUGGGAGAAGACUUCUGUGUCAAGGUUGCUUGUGGGAAACUGCGAUCUCACCCAACAAAUCAUGUCAUGGUAGCAAGGAGGAGAAGGAACACAGCUUUGUCUUUCAGAUAAUCUGAACAAAUUAAGGCCUCCAAAGGAUUCUCAGCAAUUUGGUUAGCAUAAACGCAAUGUAAUCUAAUUUUGGCCACUCUAGCCAAAAUGUGCAAGUCAUGGUGAAAUUUAAAGCUUAUCCGCAAUCACUGUCAUUGGGUUUCAACAGUCUUACAUAUGCGUCACUUGUUAACCCAACACUGGUUAAAACAAAAAUGUGCUUUUGUGUGGACUCAAUGAAUCGAGUCACUUUGCAUGAGUUUUAUGUUACGACAAGAGUCAACUAUCUUGUGCAU
rnacentral:lncRNA from 1 species